ACGGGGUGCAGCAGGCGCGAAAACUUUGCAAUGUGCGAAAGCACGACAAGGUUAAUCCGAGUGGUUUCUGCUAAAGGAACCUUUUGACAGUCCUAGAAACACUGUUGAAUAAGGGCUGGGCAAGACCCGUGCCAGCCGCCGCGGUAACACGGGCAGCUCAAGUGGCGUUCGCGUAUAUUGGGCCUAAAGCGUGCGUAGCCGGCUGGGCAAGUUCCUGGUGAAAUCCUGCGACUUAAUCGUGGGAAUUGUCAGGAAGACUGCUCGGCUUGGGACCGGAAAGGGUCGGGGGUAUUCCUUGGGUAGGGGUAAAAUCCUGUAAUCCUUGGAGGACCAACGGUGGCGAAGGCGCCCGACUGGGACGGGUCCGACGGUGAGGCACGAAAGCUAGGGGAGCGACCCGGAUUAGAUACCCGGUUAGUCCUAGCCGUAAAUGAUGCAGGUUUGGUAUUGCACUUCUUACGAGGAAUUGCAGUGCCGUAGGGAAGCCGUUAAACCUGCCGCCUGGAAGUACG
rnacentral:rRNA from 1 species